AAACGACUCUCGGCAACGGAUAUCUCGGCUCUCGCAUCGAUGAAGAACGUAGCGAAAUGCGAUACUUGGUGUGAAUUGCAAAAUCCCGUGAACCAUCGAGUCUUUGAACGCAAGUUGCGCCCGAAGCCACUAGGCCGAGGGCACGCCUGCCUGGGCGUCACGC
rnacentral:rRNA from 1 species